AUUGAACGCUGGCGGUAGGCCUAACACAUGCAAGUCGAACGGCAGCACAGGAGAGCUUGCUCUCUGGGUGGCGAGUGGCGGACGGGUGAGGAAUACAUCGGAAUCUACUCUGUCGUGGGGGAUAACGUAGGGAAACUUACGCUAAUACCGCAUACGACCUACGGGUGAAAGCAGGGGACCUUCGGGCCUUGCGCGAUUGAAUGAGCCGAUGUCGGAUUAGCUAGUUGGCGGGGUAAAGGCCCACCAAGGCGACGAUCCGUAGCUGGUCUGAGAGGAUGAUCAGACACACUGGAACUGAGACACGGUCCAGACUCCUACGGGAGGCAGCAGUGGGGAAUAUUGGACAAUGGGCGCAAGGCUGAUCCAGCCAUACCGCGUGGGUGAAGAAGGCCUUCGGGUUGUAAAGCCCUUUUGUUGGGAAAGAAAUCCAGCUGGCUAAUACCCGGUUGGGAUGACGGUACCCAAAGAAUAAGCACCGGCUAACUUCGUGCCAGCCGCCGCCGUAA
rnacentral:rRNA from 1 species